rnacentral:tRNA from 1 species
GGGAUAUGGCUCAGUUGGUUAGAGCGCUUCGUUCACAUCGAAGAAGUCAGGGGUUCGAGUCCCUUUAUCCCC